GCGAUAUAUUUUGAUUCAAUCAAUUCAGUUUUUUAGUUUUAUCUAUUUGGUUCGGUUUGAAAUUUGAACAUAUUCAGUUUUUUAUUCGAUUCGAUUUUUUAUCGAUUAAAACUGAUUAAAUCAAAUAGUAAAAUGACCCAAAUAAUUUUUCAGCCUAAGAUGCAUAAGUCUCAAGGCCCAAGAUGCAUAACCCGAUCCAAGAUGCAUAACCCAAGAAAAAAAAUAAAAAUUCUAAUAUUUUUGGUUUAAUGCAACGGAAUCGAACUGAUAUUUUUUUGUUUGAUUCGGUUCGAUUUUUCUUAAGUGAUCGGUUCGGUUUGGUUUAUAUUUUUAAGCGAUUCGAUUUUUAGAUUUUUAGUAUUCAGUUCGAUUCGAUUCGAUUCGAAACCGAACUGACCGAAUGCUCUCCCCUAUCUAUGAUGAAUGCAUUUUUUUACAUUUAAGUAUUAUAUGAUAUUAAUAAAUGAGUGUUAAAACAAAAUAUUUUAAUUCAAUUUAUUUAUAUUAAAUCUGUAUCCAUCCAUCAGAGAAAUGCCAUUUUUUGUUUUGUUUUAAACAUAUAUAGAGAUUAAAAUAAUUAAUUAUAAUUCCAUAGAGCUAGUCCAAUUGAUAAAGAUAAAAGCCUCUUUUCUUAUUAAUCAUGAUUUGAUUUCAUUUAAAAGAGUGUGCCAUUAAAAUUGUUUAAAGAAAAAAAAAACUUCUCUCUCAUUUGGAGAGAGGACCAUUUAUGUCAGUUUCAUCUACGUUUAGCUUUCUUUGAAACAAUUAAAAUUAGGUCUCAGGUAGGUUUCCCUGCCUUUUGGGCAAAGAGAACCUUUAUUCGAUUGGAGAGUGGGCUUGUCUCCCUCCUCACUAUUUAGUUGAGUGUAGGCAUGUUUAAAAUAUUGGGCUUAAUGGGAGGGAUUUUCUUUAUAUUAUAUGUGUGGCUUUGGUUUACUGGGUUGCAAAAUGCAGGUUUUUCAUUUUUGAGAUAGAAUCAAGGAAGACGACUUGAAAAUUAAGAGCCAGUAUUUUUAAAGUGUGUUUGCUGGUACUCCAUGGUUUUGAAGACGACAACUUCUGUUUUGCUCUCCUCAAAGUCAAUAGCAUAAGAAGGCUAAAGGUUCCCUCUAGAGAUGAUUUUUUCUUAUUACCCAUGUUUAGGUUUCAAGCCUUGCAUGGGUAGGGAAGUAGCUCCUUCUUCUCUAAUCUCCUUCGGGUUGCUCUUAUUCAGUAGGUUUUGAUGAGGCGAUGCUGAGAAUUCUGUAGUCAAAUUAAGGAAUGGCUAGGGUUAAAGUGAAGAAAAGACAUUGACUUAUUUUUACUGGACUUGCAUUUGAGUUUGGAUUUUUAUGUAAAUGAAGCCUAUGACCUUAAUUUUUGUAACAUGUCUGGUAGAUUUUGUACAAUAUUAAUUGCAAUUAAAAAAAAUUUAAUUUUAAUGUGUAAAAAUUAAUUUGCGAAUAUUUUAUAAAUAAAAGAAAUUAAUUAAAAAUGGUUAAUGAGUGAGGGUGAGGUGAAAUGCUACUAAUACUAAAGAAAGGGAAUCAUAUCUACCUAGGGGCUCUCUCCUUUCUCUCCCAAAGCAGCAAAACUUAUUACAAGAAUUCCAAUCUCCCCAGGCACUCUCUCUCUCUCUCUCUCAGUUUAAUAAAAAACUUGCGUCCAACACGCAACCCUGACGUGAAUUUCUUUACUUUAGCUGUCCCCACCUCUCUCAUCCAAUCUUUCUUUCCCAUGCCAUAAAAAUCCCCUUUUUUUACCAUUCAAUCUUUCUCCUGUCGUCAUUUCUUGGUCAAAAUGCCAUCACUUCUCUUCUACCCCAAUAAAAUUUUCUUUAUUAUCUCCUCUGACACUUCCAAUUUCAGGAUAUCUUCUCUGUUUUAUUAAUUAAAUCUCACCACCCACAUUCUGCAAAUGUGUAAAAUUUCUUUAAAUACAUUAAUGGGAUGAGUCCUGGGAAAUUUUGGAUAUUAUAUUAUAAAAAAAUUAUCAAAUGGGUAUAAAAAACUCACCUUUCUCGUUAUGGCAGCAGGAAAACAGAGAUUUUUCAAUAGAUUUUGGGGCAAUAAUGAUUCUGCUGAAGCUGUAAUUUAGAACAAAAAAUUGGGUUUUGCUCUAUUUGGCGGCAGAAAGUGCUUCCCUGCAGUCGCAGUGUGAUCCCAUCUUACAAUAAUCUAACAAAAUAUAUAAAAAUUAAUAUUGCAACAAAUCAAACAAUUGAUCAAACCGGUAAGAAUAAGAUUCACUGGCCCCUCUCUCUGUCAAUUUGAAGGUCAAAUCUCACUUUCUUUAAAAUUCCAUCCCCACCUUCCUCUUCUCACUUGCUUUAAUUUACCCGCCAAGUGUAGAACCUGCUUGCUUGUCCAAUUGUCAUUGGUUGGUGUUUUCACCUUCUUCGAGAAAGAGUGGUAGUACACACCACUUGUUCAAAUUUUUUUCACUUUUUUUUAUUUUUGUCACUUGAUGAUGCAUUAACAACGGGCAUGGCUUUUUCUACAGAACAAUGCUUGAAAUGCAUUGAUAGAUUGCUUUCUCUCGUAUGGGUCUCUUUAAAGAAUGGCCACUCAAAGACUCAAUCUCUCUCUCUCUCUCUCAAGAAGUUGUAUAUAAAUGCAUGAGCAAGUCAGCUUCUUUGCUCCUUUGAAUUAGAGAUAUCAGAUAUGGGGAAGAAGAGCAUGCAUGCAUGACUAUAAUGGGCGAGUAGCUCUUGCUGGAGAAGCAGGGCACGUGCA
rnacentral:precursor_RNA from 1 species